AAAGGUCUCGUUGGUGACCAGCGGAGGGACAUUACCGAGUUUACAACUCCCAAACCCAAUGUGAACCAUACCAAACUGUUGCCUCGGCGGGGUCACGCCCCGGGUGCGUCGCAGCCCCGGAACCAGGCGCCCGCCGGAGGGACCAACCAAACUCUUUCUGUAGUCCCCUCGCGGACGUUAUUUCUUACAGCUCUGAGCAAAAAUUCAAAAUGAAUCAAAACUUUCAACAACGGAUCUCUUGGUUCUGGCAUCGAUGAAGAACGCAGCGAAAUGCGAUAAGUAAUGUGAAUUGCAGAAUUCAGUGAAUCAUCGAAUCUUUGAACGCACAUUGCGCCCGCCAGUAUUCUGGCGGGCAUGCCUGUCCGAGCGUCAUUUCAACCCUCGAACCCCUCCGGGGGGUCGGCGUUGGGGAUCGGGAACCCCUAAGACGGGAUCCCGGCCCCGAAAUACAGUGGCGGUCUCGCCGCAGCCUCUCCUGCGCAGUAGUUUGCACAACUCGCACCGGGAGCGCGGCGCGUCCACGUCCGUAAAACACCCAACUUCUGAAAUGUUGACCUCGGAUCAGGUAGGAAUACCCGCUGAACUUAAGCAUACA
rnacentral:rRNA from 1 species